rnacentral:tRNA from 1 species
GGAAAGAUGCCAGAGUGGUCGAAUGGACCGCACUCGAAAUGCGGCGAGCGGGUUAAACUGCUCCUAGGGUUCGAAUCCCUAUCUUUCCG